AAUUAAUUGUCAAAAAGAUUCAUACUAUGUUCAGUGAUGCACAAAACUAGCACCAUAUGCCAAUGCAAUAUUGUAUAUUAUAGUUUACAAGCUUUAAUAUAAAUACAUGUAUUAGAAGUACACAUCACAUUCCAAACCAAAAACCAGUGUUGAGAACAAUGACAACAUCAUACUGUGUGCCAUAAUUACACAGGAAAUCAUUCUUGAGCUUGAAUUAACAUUAAAUCUGAUGUCUAUUAUUAUCACUAUUUUGGAUGUGCUAUCAGGUUACAUUUUUCUUUCUCCCACACAAACAUGUCAGGGCACCUCAACAUUAUUGACUUCAUAAUCAAAUUUAUUUUGAAGGGGGGUGGGGAAAAGGAAAAAUAAAUGAAAAGUUAGCGCGCACACAUCAACAGAGACAGACAGAUGCUUUUCCAACCUCAUUUAACACAUAAUGUUGGUGAUUCCCUACCACUCUUGACAGAAGACCAAAGUUGGAUACUACAUUUUUCAUGAUCUACCCCAGGUUCAACCAAAUCAAGAAAUAUCAAACUUUGUUCUCACCAUGGCAUUGUGUGUAUAUAUAUAGUGAUUGAUUGAUGGCUGUUUUGAGAUUGUUUCUUCCCCUUUAUAUGAAACGAAGAUAAUUUGAAUUUCAACAUCACAGUUCCCCAACCAUGUUCAAAUUAAAAAAUAUAGCAACUAUCUGGGUUGAUUUUGAAAAUCUAGUUACAAAAAUCAAUGAAGCAAUUUGCA
rnacentral:misc_RNA from 1 species